UCUCAACAGGCUUCUCUCUCGCGAGGGAGUGUCUGGUUCUCGAACAACAUUGUCCUUGUCCGCCAAUUAGGUCAUAUUACUGGGAAUCUAUUUACACGGAGAGGAAUUAUGGAAAGAUACAACUUUGAGGUUUGGACGUCACUCUACAGAUGAACCCUCUAUCCUGACACCUCUGGAGCAGUGCUGCAGGAUCCGUCACUCUACCCUCCUGUGUCUGUCUGCGUCUCCUCUCCCUGCCCCAGUACAGUCUGAUGU